CGAGUCAUCCCAUACCCCGCCACCACGAAGAGGCUACCCCUCGCACGAAACGAAAAAAACCAGGCGAAGAGCCUCCUCGCCCGUAGCAUCAGGCAAAAACGCUCCCCUCGAUCUAGGUCACGUCGGCGCCGCCGCCGCCAAUCCGCUCGUAUGCCGCCGCCGCCAUCCCCCAUCGCCACUGGUCGGACGUGGAGUUCGUGUGCCAUGACCUCCAUGGCACCCAUGGCCGACAAGACGGGACCCUCGGCCUCGGCCAUGGCCGCCUGCUCGGGAGAUGGGGUCGCCAUGUUUGACGCCGCCAGCGCCUCAUGGACCUCAGCUCCAGGUCCACCGCCAUCGAACUCAGGUACGUCUCAUCAACGACGACGGCCAUGGUCGCCAGUCGCCACGUCCAUGGUCAAUCAACUGAUCUUAUCUGAGAUGAAGUUCUACAGGAAGAGAAUCUAGAAAUUCUUGCGCUUGAUGCAGUAGACGAAACUGAUCUGUUUGAUCUGAUCCCAACUUCCCAAGUCCUGAUGAGAACGUAUAUCUCAGGAUUAAUCGAUGAGUCAAAAGCUGAUGAUUCCGCUUCAAAAUCAUAGUUUUUGUUUUUAAAAUCAUAGAAAAGUUUGGGACGGCUAGACUAUAGCAUGCUCUGGAGUCUGGACAUCCUACUGAUGCCGAUGAUUUGGCUUUGCAGGUGGAUAAGUGGAUGGCACAUGUGUAUGUUGCUGUUGAGGGAUUAUAUUCGACAUUUUAUUUUUAUCCCAACACUAGAUUGAAGUGGUGGUUUACAAAGGAUUUUUAGUGGGGCACAAGUGUAGAUUGAUACAAAAGCAUGCUGAAUAUUUUGGUCCUUCAGGUUCAUUUUCACGAUCAUUCUUUCAGUGCAAAAUUUUGUACCCAAUUCUUAUGAACCGAACAAUGCAACUCUGUUGUUUAAGUUGAAUUAUUAGGCUGUACAUCAGUGACAUGACACAUGAUUUGCAAGCCGUCAGAGGAUUACAUUACAUAUUAGUUUCUUUAUUUUGUAGAACUGUGCUAAUUCUAAUCAAGUUGAUCUGCACGAUCUUCUUUACAUAUAAGCAUAUAUCUUCAGGUUAUCCCAAUAAAAAAUGUUGACGUAUCCUUCA
rnacentral:lncRNA from 1 species